AAGAGGAGGGGCGGUUGGAGGGAGAGAAAUGUCGGCAAAGGCAGAGAAAUUUGGCAAAGUGAAGUUUAAUGGCUUUUAGUAGAAGCUCAUCUUCACACACCAUGGGCAAAAAGCGCAGGUGAAACGAGUGUCCAAAGAUGUAGAUAUGGAAAUGAAGUUAUAGUCCUCACUUCAUGAAUAAAACAAAAUUAUAAUAGAUUUCUUAAAUGUCCAAAUUCAAGGUUAGCGAGUGACAUGUUUAUUUUU